UUAGUACUUCCUCCGUCCGGAAAUACUUGUCAUCAAAAUGGAUAAAAGGGGAUGUAUCUAGACAUAUUUUAGUUCUAGAUACAUCUCUUUUUAUCCAUUUUGAUGACAAGUAUUUUCGGACGGAGGGAGUAGCAC
rnacentral:pre_miRNA from 1 species